AUGUUCAGAAAGUGGUCUCCUGUACCAAUUAAUUCACGGGUACUUCCCACUUUGUCUUCUAAUAGGUUCAGUGUGGCUGGGUUUAUGUUGAGGUCUUUGAUCCAUUUUGACUUAAUUUUGUGCAUGGAGAUAGGCUUGGAUCUAUCUGUAGUCUUCUACUUGUCCGCAUCCAAUUAUGCCAGCACCAUUGUUGAAGAUGUUCUCUAUAACUCCCCUUGUCUUGGUUUCCCACACAGGGUCCUAGGAAGCUUGGAGCAUCUGCCUGAGCCUCUCAGCCAGUCAUGUGAAGUCUUAAGUGUCUAUGACUGUAGCCUUACUCAGCACCCUGGAAUCCUGGCCCACACAAUACCUGGGCACUUUCGAGGCAGGUAAGUGAAACUUUAAUCCCAGUGUUCCUUUGGUUCCUGAUCCCCCCAGCCACCAUGGUCUCAGCUGGGCCACUCCCUUGCCAUGUCCCCAGCAAGCCACUAAAGGACUUAGCCCAACUCAGACAGCUAGGUGUUGGGUGGAGGGAGUAUGACAGGAGGGACCACAGAGCCAAUAAUGUAUCCUUAUCACUGCCACUUUCCUGGGUGCACACCUUCCUGGCAGUAGGUCUUGGGCUGCCUUCCAGUUUGGCUGUCCUCCUCCU
rnacentral:lncRNA from 1 species